rnacentral:lncRNA from 1 species
UUUUUUUUUUUUUUUUUUUUCUUUUAGGUUUAAUUAGCUUCCUUUUUCCUCAGUGUUCUUUUGAGGCAUCUUAAAAGCAGAGAUGAGGGAUUUGAUUUCAAAUCAGCGUGACACAAGAGUUAGUGAAGGAUAUUGGAGAAUAAAGGAGUCACUUCACUGGAAUGGCAUUUGGGGCAUCAGAGUCCAUUUUCAGGCUUGAGGCAGUCUAGCUGGACACGGCUGAUAUUUCUUUCCCUAUCAUCUGCGUUGGUAAAUAUAGAUUUGAGUUGGAUCCUUCCCUUAUUCAAUUAUAAGCACUUUACAGAGAUAGCCCAAGUCUUUCAUUCCAUUUCCAUUCCCCACAGAACUUGGUAAACUGUGUCCAUAGUGUACUCAGAAGAAAGGUUCUAUCCAAACUUAAAAAACAAACCUGUGUUACACAGAAACCACAGAAACUAAAAUUAUCAAGAGAUCUCCCAAGUCUGGACAGAAAAGAAUAUUGGAAUAGAACCUUCCCCAUGGAUCUCACCAACUCACUUGGGGCACCAGGAGAUCACCUGGGGCAGUGUCAAUUAACUCUUAGUUAAUAGAAUUUUUGGCCAACCAGAACUAUUCAAGAUAGCAAAGCUUUCAUUGUAAUAGUGGCAUUCAUAACAAGACAAGUUAGCCCAUAUUGUCAGCUCCAUAAAUAAUUGGGUCCCAGAAGGACUGGCAGAGAGCUUUGGUGAUAUAUAGCUACCAAGUACACUGACAAAUUGUGAUCAGGCUGCCUUUGUUCGAAAAGCAGCCCGUCUCAAUAUAAACUCAGAAUGGCAGGGGAAUUGUGCAGCAUAAAGCAGUCCGAUAAAUGAAGCUCCCAUCUGUCACAGGGAGUUCCACCCCAGGACAGAGGUCACCGGAUAAUAAUAAUAAUGAUGAGAGCAAUAAUGUGAAUAAUGACAUCAUCAUAAUAAUAGGUGAACGAGCUGUAAAGAGUACAAGGGGUGCCUAUUGUCAACUCGGCCGUACUGAAGGGAAACUUUGACUGUCUUCCCAGAAGAUGGGCAAAUCAAAUUCAAAUAGCUAUUGUUCUCAACAGGGGCAGAAUCAGUCAUAGGACUUUCAGUGCCAUUGGCAUCCUGUGACACAAGGCAGCUGGGUGACAGAAAGAAUCUGUCAAAAAUCACUAGUGUGCUUGACCCAAUAUAGGGAGGUGCACUGAGAAAACGCCCUGGUUCACAGUAGCACUCAUAAAAUGAGAAUGUCUUAAGCUUCCUAUGUGCAUUAAUACUUCUCUAACUAUCCAGUCCCCAGAAGGAACAAUCAAAGACUAGCCAUUUCUAUUGACCGAUAACUUGGCCUGAUAGAACCUGUGAGAUUUUUCAUUCCUUCCCCCUUCAGUUCUUGGAGGUUGGGCGGGGGAGGUGGUUUAAAUUUGUGGAACAUCUGUUACAUAAAGCCUUUUGUUUUACAUACAUUAUCUGUGGAGUUGGCAGUAUUACCCCCCCUGUAGGGGUGAGAAACUAGGAGAAUUAAUAACUUUCCCAAGGAUAUAAGGACAGCAAGUGGCAAAGUUAGAAUUCCCAUCCAGAUCCACUCCCUCCAAGGUUCAUACCCUAAGUAAGGUAGGCUGGAUAAGGGUCUUCCAAAAAUGUAUGUUCUGAAUCCCUAGCAUUGUUGAUAUGCUACCCUAUGUGAUAAAAGGAACCUUGCAGAUGUGAUCAGGAUCACAAGGUAGAUUGUCACGGAUUAUCCAGGAAGGCUCAAUAACUCAAGAGUCCUUAUCAGAGGGAGGCAGAGGGAGAUUCCAGAGAGAGGAAACUGCUAUGGUAGAGGCAGAGGUGGGAGUGACAUGGCCAAGAGGCAAAGAAUGCCCACAGCACUUAGAAGUUCAAGAACCAAUGAACAGAUUCUCCCUUGAAAACUCCAGAAGGAAACAGCCCCGGUGACACUUGGGAUUUAACUCCCUAAGACUCAUUUUAGACUUCUAACCUCCAGAACUGUAAAAGAAUACAUCUGUGUAAUUUAAAUCCACUAAACUUGCAAUGAUUUGUUAUAUGCUAGAGAAUGAAUACCCCAAGUGGCAAUGUUUUCUUAACCAAUGAAGGGGCCAACAGGAUGCUCUGGCAUUAAGAGACAAAAGUCCUGGGCAGGGCAACCCCGGUGGCCCAGCGGUUUAGCGCCGCCUUUGGCCCAGGGUGUGAUCUUGGAGACCCAGGAUCGAGUCCCACAUCGGGCUCCCUGCAUGGUGCCUGCUUCUCCCUCUGCCUGUCUCUCUCUCUCUCUCUCUGUGUGUGUGUGUGUCUCUCAUGAAUAAAUAAAUACAAUGUUCAAAAAAAUAAAAAAUAAAUAAAUAAAAUACAGAAACUUAAAAAAAAAAAAAAAAAAGUCCUGGGCAGCCACGGUGGCUCAGUGGUUUAGCACCGUCUUCAGGCCAGGGCGUGAUCCUGGAGACCCGGGAUCGAAUCCCACCUCAGGCUCCCUGCAUGGAGCCUGCUUCUCCCUCUGCCUCUCUCUCCCUGUCUCUAAUAAAUAAAUAAAAUCUUAAAAAAGAGAGAGAGAGAGAGAGACAAAAGUCCUCUCUGCCAUCUUUAUUUAACUAACAGCAUAGAGGUGGGUGGGUGGAGACUAAUAUUUACUAAACCAUGAAGGUAGCAGGAAAGAAGUGAGGUCCUCAUGGAUCCCCUUGAUCUCUUCAUCUAUGGAACCUGAGUCACCCCCCUAGGAGUGUUAACCUUUUAGCAAAUCAUGACCAGCAUAUAAGGCUACCUAAUGGAUUGAGAAGAGAAACAAAAAAAUAAGAGAACAGAAACCUUCUAGACUUACCCUUUAAAGACCUAGCUUAAUUGUACAUUGUAACUCAAGAAAAUGAAGAGGGGCCAGCACCAAGCACUUGGUUUCCUUCUAAGACAACAGUUCAAAAGUAGUCAAACAGCUGGAAUGUGCAGGCUAUGCUCCUGAAUCCUCUUCCUACUUGGCGGCACAGAGCUUCAUCCUUCAGACUCAUGCUUGUAGCAAGAGUACACGCUACAGCGGUGAGAAAGUAUAGAGACAGCCUCUCCCGAGCUCACACACAAAUGUGAAGUGCUGCCACCACCAGUGUAGUCACUGCCAUUUAAAUUUUUUUUUUUUCAAAAUUAAAAAUAUUUAAUGAGAUGUUUACGUCACACCCAUUUGGGGAAACUAAGCUUUUAUUUUAAGUAUGAAUAAUACAGCUGCUUGGGUUUUAAAAAUCUCCUAAUUUCAAUGUGAAUACAGCACAGCUGCCUUGAUGAGUGAUCACAGAAGGGUGGCAGUGCCAUUGGUUCAAAGUUGGAAUAUGUAAUGACGUCUCAUCAUCAAUGGCUCCUUUUUAAAAAUAACGCUCAUUUGCCAGCACUGCAUUGGUCCUCAAAGGUGUCGGUCAACUGUGGCUCAUAUAUAAGCCAGGCAAAGCAAAGCAUGUGCGAAAUGUGAAGUGUUGAAUAUAUAUGUGGAUAUAUUUGGUUCUUUGAAAAGCACAGUGGUCAUCCAUCCUCAUAUGGCUUUGUAAGAAUCAGCCUCGUUAGUAUCAGCUGCACAAGUUACUCUUGCAUGAUGUAAAGCUCCCAUCAUCUGACAUUUUGUUCUAAAAACUAUUUUCAAAAUGUCAGCAAGUCUCCAGACUUCAACUCAGUGGUUAAGGCCUACUCAAAAUCUGCUACUAGCAACCACUUCGUGGCUGGUGUGGGUUUCUUUUUCCCCCUCAGUGAAUAUUCAUACAGGAAAGAGUUCACUGUUAAGAUACCAAAUGAAGUGAAAAAAAUAUUUUUCUUCCUUUUAAUCCCAUAAUAUAUAAGAUACUGAUUUCCAACUCCAGAAAAUAUUCACAAAGGAAAAUCAGACUGAAUGAAAUUAUAAUAAAGGACAUAAAAUAUAGGCAUUCUACCAAAUGGCAGUAAGGCAUGUAAAAACCAUUAAUGAUUUCCCACUACUGCUAAUUUUGAAUUCUAGGUGAAAGCAAACACAAUUAGGAAAAUCCAUAAAUUGUGUGUCUGUUUGUACAUCAUUGCCAAGCAAAUCAUUUUAUAGCUAUUGUCUCAGUUACACAUAUCCAUGUCAUACCUAGGCAUCAUCAUGCUCAUCAGUAAAAAGCAGUUCAUUCAAUGCCUGUAAGUACCACAGGACGACACUGUGGAUUUGGA